GGCGGCGGGGGAGGAGGAGGAGUCAGCAGUCUCGGCGGCUCCAUUCACACCGCAGCCCUAGCAGAUUAGGCAGAGCGCGCGACUCCUUGGGGGCGUCCUGGCAGUGGGGGUGGGAGGCGGGCCCGAGGGAGCGUCCCUCUCGGAGACACCCUCCUCUCCUACCCGCCACGCGCUCUCCGCAGGCCUGUGGGACACAAUCCUCCCCCCACCUCCCCUUCUCGGCCUUCGCGAGUGUGGGCGCCUUGGGGUACUGGCGAGCCUCUCCAGGACUCACUCAAGCGCUACGAGGAAAGGCGAGCCGAAAGCCCGGGAUUUCCACUUCUAAGUGAAAAACGUAACAAUAACGGUGCCUAUUCAAGUUGCAAGAACUAGAUAAGAGGGAGAGCUCCUGAAAGACCUGGUAUUGCUCCAGACGCAACUGCUACAGCUGGGAGAAGAGAGGCGUUCUCCCCAUGGAAGCUAUGUCAAGAUCAUAAUGAAUAUGGAUUACCACUCUGGAGAAUUCAACUGAUGAAGAACAGGGGUUGGCAAUCUUCCCUUUGGUGUAUUUUUGGUAAAUUGCUGACCCUGAUGUAGAAGGACUGAUGUUCUUCCAAUAGUCAAAGCUCCAUCAGCCUGAAUCCCUGAGUAAGAAUCACACAGAGCGGAGGCCCUGCUGACCUGGGAUGAAUGUGUAGCAUAAAUGGGAAAUAAACCUUUGUUUUUCUAAGCCACUGGAGGUUGUUUGUUGCUGCAGCAUAAGGAAGAAAGGGUGAAAGAGAAGCUUCCCAUGCCUGGUUUAUGAACGUGGCCUUGAAAAUGUCCACAGAACUAUUGUUGUCUUGUUGAGUCUGCAGCCAGGAAGGCAGAAAUCACUGCAGCAAAGCAGGUGUGAACGUCCCCCUACUUCAGAGGCAGCUCUCUUUGAAGCUGGAAAAUCAAGGACGCUGGUACCUUCAAGGAAACAAGGAUAUAAUUAUCACAACACCCAACUGGCCGGUGACCUUCCAUUCCUCAGGCCUGCCCUACUCCCUUCACUGGCAGCAGCCCAGGUCCUCACAGACUGAGCUCUGUCCCAGAUCGCUCAGCCAGAGGAACAGCCCACUCCCUCACCCUUUGAAAGUGUUCUUAAUCUCUUUCUACUGCGCUGCUCUUGCUGACAUAAAUCCGCCAGCCCAGGGGGCCUCUGAGCCCCCCACAGAGGGAGGCCCUUCAGGCCAAGCGGAGUCUGAGCAGCGAAGGCGUAGAAUUUAUGCUUCCUCUCACCUGUGCCGUCUGUCUGUGGCCUCUACUCCAGGCUGGUUUUGAAGGUUUGACCAGAACCUCCCAGCUCCUUGCCAAGUCUGCCAUCAUCACCUCGGUCACAGAAGCAGACUUCUCAAGGCCACUGGAAGCUAAUAACAGGGACUCUCAACUUCAUUAUUAUAUUUGA